AAAGUUUUUUUGGUGCAAAUUUUGAGCUAUUGUGAAUGAAUUUCAGGAAAAGAUGGUGAAUUUUUAUGAUUUAUUUAUUGAAUUUUAGAAUGUGUGAGUUUCUUAUGUUAAAUUUUACCUUUUUUGGGUUUUAGAUAUAGAAUUAGUAAUUUGAGAAGAUAUGCAUAGUGUUAGUUUUGAAAGUUUUGAUGAAUUCAGUUAAAAUUGAAUGAUUCUUUAAAUUUAAUGGGGAUUCUAAUAGUUGAUGGGAACAUUGUAACUGCGCUAUUGUUUAAGACUUAAGGGGAGGAACUUGUAAUCAACUUUAAUUGUACAUGGCUUUCUUAUCUAUUCAAGAAGCUCACAAUGUGGGAUUUGUUUUAGACAAGUAAAACUAUGAAUAUUAAUUUGCUUCCACUUUACAUGCAGAACUUUCUGUUUUGAUUAAAAUGUCUUUUUUUUUUUUUUUUUUCAAAUUUUGAAAAACUGUCUUCCAUUUUCUUCCCUUUCGUAUGUGGGAUUGCACAAUUUGGCACAAAGUUUUGAUCUUCAAUUUAGGAAGUUCGUCUUUGCAUAACUGAUUUGGAGAUAGAUUUAACUUCCAACAAUUUUGGUGGGCUCAGUGUAUCUUCGCCGUUUCCUACUUCUUAGCUCUAGAUGGAAAAUGGUUACUAAGGAAAGAAAUUUAGAAACUUCCACCAUUAUGUGACAUAGAGAGAAGAUGGAAAAGUCUGCCAGCAAUAGAUUAUCAAAAUUUUGAAUAGGCGAAAUCAGCUAGCAGCUAAUACUUUUUAAGGGCAGUGUUCUUUAUUGGAAUUUAGUGAGCUUUUUACCCUUUAAUCUUUUAUGAUAAUAAUUUUUUUCCUAGCUUCUUGCACCUCCUUGAUUUUUGUUAAAGUAUGCUUCACACCAUAAUUUCUUGUUAUUGUCAAAGCAUCUUGAAGGUGAAGGACAUUAAUAAAGUAGCCCUUUACAUGGGUGGCGGUUAUUGAAAAGAUUCUUAAUAUGGACAAUUUGAGGAAGAGAAGUAUUUGUAUUGCAGAAUGGUGUUCUAGAUGCAAAAACAGUGGGGAAAUCUAUGGAUCACUUUCUUCUCCUUUGUGCUUAUGUAUAAAGUUUAUGGUCCUUGGUGUUUUGUUUGUUCGGCAUCACGUGGUGGUGCCUAAGCGAGUGGUGGACUUGCUGGCAUGUUGGAAGGGGUUUUUGGUGGUCAUAAUUCUGCAGAAGUGCAGAUAUAUGGGGUGCUAUCCCACUAUGUAUUAUGUUGACUAUUGUGCAGGGAACUAAGGCCAUAUGCUAUAUCUAGUAGACGUGCUGUACCUGCUCAUAUUGAGCUUCCUGACUGGGCAGCUGAUGGUAUCCCAAAAACUGAGCCCAAUAGUGAUCUGCAGCAUGUUGUUGAGGAAAAUAUUCUCAAAGUGCAAGAAGAUCAUUGUCAAGAUCCUAAUGCAAUUCCCCUUAUACAAGAGGAGAUCUUAAACUUGGUUUUAAGAAAAAGUCCGGUAUUGUAAAAGGACUUGGCCUGAGACCUUCCUCUUCUCUAGUAACCACCGCCUCAUCUAAUUCCUCGGUGGAUUAUAUCUAACGGCUAGAAAAUGAGAUAAUUGAGCUCAAAGAGGCAAGAGUUAGGGAUCAAGAGGAGCGAGCUAGGGACCAAGAGGCACGAGCUAAGUAAGAAGAGGUCCAAAAGAAUUUUCUUAACUUUUUGAGGAGUAAGGGUUAUGAUGAAGCUCUUACCAAUAGGGGUGGUUCAACUUCAAGUUAAAACACUUAUUGUAUGUGUUGCAAACAAUUAUUGUAUAGAAGAAGUUUGAAUUGCAUACUUG